AGACCCGAAACCCGGUGAUCUAGCCAUGGGCAGGUUGAAGGUUGGGUAACACUAACUGGAGGACCGAACCGACUAAUGUUGAAAAAUUAGCGGAUGACCUGUGGCUGGGGGUGAAAGGCCAAUCAAACCGGGAGAUAGCUGGUUCUCCCCGAAAGCUAUUUAGGUAGCGCCUCGUGAAUUCAUCUCCGGGGGUAGAGCACUGUUUCGGCUAGGGGGCCAUCCCGGCUUACCAACCCGAUGCAAACUGCGAAUACCGGAGAAUGUUAUCACGGGAGACACACGGCGGGUGCUAACGUCCGUCGUGAAGAGGGAAACAACCCAGACCGCCAGCUAAGGUCCCAAAGUCAUGGUUAAGUGGGAAACGAUGUGGGAAGGCCCAGACAGCCAGGAUGUUGGCUUAGAAGCAGCCAUCAUUUAAAGAAAGCGUAAUAGCUCACUGGUCGAGUCGGCCUGCGCGGAAGAUGUAACGGGGCUAAACCAUGCACCGAAGCUGCGGCAGCGACGCUGAUGCGUUGUUGGGUAGGGGAGCGUUCUGUAAGCCUGUGAAGGUGGCCUGUGAGGGUUGCUGGAGGUAUCAGAAGUGCGAAUGCUGACAUAAGUAACGAUAAAGCGGGUGAAAAGCCCGCUCGCCGGAAGACCAAGGGUUCCUGUCCAACGUUAAUCGGGGCAGGGUGAGUCGACCCCUAAGGCGAGGCCGAAAGGCGUAGUCGAUGGGAAACGGGUUAAUAUUCCCGUACUUGGUGUUACUGCGAAGGGGGGACGGAGAAGGCUAUGUUGGCCGGGCGACGGUUGUCCCGGUUUAAGCGUGUAGGUGUGUGUUCCAGGUAAAUCCGGUUCACUUUAACACUGAGGCGUGAUGACGAGGCACUACGGUGCUGAAGCAACAAAUGCCCUGCUUCCAGGAAAAGCCUCUAAGCAUCAGGUAACAUCAAAUCGUACCCCAAACCGACACAGGUGGUCAGGUAGAGAAUACCAAGGCGCUUGAGAGAACUCGGGUGAAGGAACUAGGCAAAAUGGUGCCGUAACUUCGGGAGAAGGCACGCUGACACGUAGGUGAAGUGAUUUACUCAUGGAGCUGAAGUCAGUCGAAGAUACCAGCUGGCUGCAACUGUUUAUUAAAAACACAGCACUGUGCAAACACGAAAGUGGACGUAUACGGUGUGACGCCUGCCCGGUGCCGGAAGGUUAAUUGAUGGGGUCAGCGCAAG
rnacentral:rRNA from 1 species